CUAGGGCAACAUAAACAGCAGCGGGAAGCAUUGAUUUCUAUUCAUCCUGCCCUAAAAAGAUCAGGAGUAAGAGCUUUUUAGAAAUAUGUAUUUAGAGAGAAGUACCUAUCUAUUUUGUGAUCUCUCAAGAAAGUAAUUAUGGGUGACGUUCUCCUUUUGUUCAUGUACCAGGAUUUGUGAAAUAUUAUUCACACACCGACCCACCAUCCCACGGGCCUGGCCUCUCUUGUACAGGAUAUGCAGGAAACUCUGUAUGUGUCUGGGACCCAUUAUUAAGAGUUAUGGGAGUUCAUCCUAGGAUGUCUGCCUUAUAGUUAUCUCUUCUUGCACUGAGACAUUACAGAUAUCAUUUGGGGGCUACUAUAUAUCUUCUGUAAAAUUACUUUUAUUUGUUGAGAAGAAUGCAUACUAAGUCAGGAACAUGCCUUAAUUUGUUUUGUUUUGCAUUGAGUAGAAGGGCUAAACUGUAUACCCUCCACUUUUAGGGUUAUUUGCUGUGUGCCUUUAAGUUCAAAAGUAGACACCACAGUAAAUGCUGAAAGUUGGCUUUAGGUCUUCUGUGGCUAAUGCCGUAUUAAAAAUGAAAAACAUUUGUAAUAGGAAAUUAGCCUGCCCUUCGUUCUGUUGAUCCUGUUUUCUGGUGGUCAUAAUUGUGGGUAGAAGAGAGUACAGUUUGCAAAUAAUGUGAUGAGUUGGCAAUGCAGAAGUUUCCAGCAUUUGGAAACACUUUACUCUGACAAACUGAUUAUCUUGUGAAUUUUAUCUAUGCUCCACAGAAUGAGCUUUUAAAAGCACUGAUUUUUCUUAAUUUGUGUCCAUUCAUAAGAAAUUAAUCUGUGCCCUGGUUUCCUA
rnacentral:lncRNA from 1 species